rnacentral:rRNA from 1 species
CUUGGUCAUUUAGAGGAAGUAAAAGUCGUAACAAGGUUUCCGUAGGUGAACCUGCGGAAGGAUCAUUAUUGAUUUUUAAAGAUGUGCUGGCACUCCUUCACCGGUUUGCAUGUGCACUCUGCAAAAUCUCCUUCUCUUACCCCACUGUGCACACCCAAGUAGACAAACAGUGUUGCAGAGCAAUCUGUGUAAUUCCUGAUUUGCCUACGUUUUUAUCAAACACCAAUAACAAUAUCAGAAUGAUCUAUACAGUAAGCUUUUAACAAGCUGAAAUUUAAUACAACUUUCAACAAUGGAUCUCUUGGUUCUCGCAUCGAUGAAGAACGCAGCGAAUUGCGAUAUGUAAUGUGAAUUGCAGAAUUCAGUGAAUCAUCGAAUCUUUGAACGCACCUUGCACCCUCUGGCAUUCCGGAGGGUAUGCCUGUUUGAGUGUCAUUAAUCUCUCAACACAAGAAACUUUGUGUUCUUGUGCUUGGAUGUUGAAGGUUUUGCUGGCGCAAACAACUGUCAGCUCCUUUUAAACGCAUUAGCAGAGCAGUAUGGGACUGGCCUCGGUUUGAUAAGAAACAUUAUCUAUGCUGUCGCUGGGUUUUCCUCUUUGUGCUCAGCUUCAAAUUGUCUUCGGACUGUCUCUUUGAGGCAACAAAAUCUCUAUUGAUCGACCUCAAAUCAGGUAGGACUACCCGCUGAACUUAAGCAUAUCAAUAAGCGGAGA